rnacentral:rRNA from 1 species
UAGGGAAUAUUGCGCAAUGGACGCAAGUCUGACGCAGCGACGCCGCGUGGGUGACGAAGGCCUUCGGGUCGUAAAGCCCUGUCGGAAGGGACGAAAAACGGAAUGGCUAACAUCCAUCCGCUUGACGGUACCUUUAAAGGAAGCACCGGCUAACUACGUGCCAGCAGCCGCGGUAAUACGUAGGGUGCAAGCGUUGUUCGGAAUCAUUGGGCGUAAAGCGCGUGUAGGUGGCUAGUUAAGUCUGUUGUGAAAUCCCUCGGCUCAACCAAGGAAGUGCAUCAGAAACUAGCUGGCUAGAAGAUGGUAGAGGUAGGUGGAAUUCCAAGUGUAGAGGUGAAAUUCGUAGAUAUUUGGAGGAAUACCGGCGGCGAAGGCGGCCUACUGGGCCAUUCUUGACACUGAGACGCGAAAGCGUGGGGAGCAAACAGG